CUGACAUUUAAUGUGGAUAAGUGCAAGAUAAUGCAUCUUGGAUGUAAAAACCCAAGGGCAGAGUAUAGAUUAUUUGAUACCCUACUAACCUCAACAUCCGAGGAAAAGUAUUUAGGAGUAAUUAUAUCACAUGACUGAAAUGCUAGCAGAAUGCUUGGUUGUAUAGGAGAAGUAUUAGCACUAGAAAGACAGAAGUGCUCAUGCCAUUGUACAGAACACUGGUGAGACCUCACUUGGUAUUGUACGCAGUACUGGAGAACAUAUCUUCAGAAGGAUAUUGAUACUUUGGAGAGAGUUCAGAGAAGGGCUACUAAACUGGUUCAUGGAUUGCAGGAUAAAACUUACCAGGAAAGGUUAAAGAAUCUUAACAUGUAUAGCUUGGAGGAAAGACGAGUCGGGGGAUAGGAUAGAAACAUUUAAAUACAUAUAGGGAAUCAACACAGUAAAGGAGGAGACUAUAUUUAAAAGAAGAAAAC